UACGUAGGGGGCAAGCGUUGUCCGGAUUUAUUGGGCGUAAAGAGCGUGUAGGCGGCCAGGUAGGUGGGUUGUGAAAACUGGAGGCUCAACCUUCAGACGUCGACCCAAACCCCCUGGCUAGAGUCCGGAAGAGGAGAGUGGAAUUCCCAGUGUAGUGGUGAAAUACGUAGAGAUUGGGAAGAACACCAGUGGCGAAGGCGGCUAUCUGGACGGUUUCUGACGCUAAGACGCGAAAGCGUGGGGAGCAAACAGG
rnacentral:rRNA from 1 species